rnacentral:rRNA from 1 species
UACGGAGGAUGCGAGCGUUAUCCGGAUUUAUUGGGUUUAAAGGGUGCGCAGGCGGUCUGUUAAGUCAGCGGUCAAAGCCCGGGGCUCAACCCCGGCCCGCCGUUGAAACUGGCAGUCUCGAGUUGGAGAGAAGUAUGCGGAAUGCGCGGUGUAGCGGUGAAAUGCAUAGAUAUCGCGCAGAACUCCGAUUGCGAAGGCAGCAUGCCGGCUCCACACUGACGCUGAGGCACGAAGCGUGGGUAUCGAACAGG